rfam:Anoxybacillus flavithermus strain 25 c24, whole genome shotgun sequence.
GUCAACAACCCAAUGACUAAAGUCAUGGGCUUGUAAGCCCCAUGUUGACCAGACCAAGGCUUGAAACAGAGCCUACGUUAUAGAUGUCAUGACACGUUCGGGUGCUUCUCCAGCCCGUUCCUCUGUCGUGCAAGGUUAAACAAGCGUGGUGGGUAGCGCUAGUGUCUUGCACAUAACAAGCAUCUAUAACAUGGUCGAGGAGAAUAUGAC